rnacentral:rRNA from 1 species
CUAAUCUGCCCCCUGAAUAUUUAAAUUUAAAGGGCUGCAGUAUAUUAACUGUACAAAGGUAG